CCAGCCCCCCCCCGCCCGCGCCGUCACCCUCUAAUCCAGCAAUUAGAGACAAGGCCACGGAGAUGGAACAGAUGUUCCAUAAAUGGGAAUGAGAGGGAGUCCUGGCUGCCGAUGGUGUUCCUAAUCUCUCCGAGGAGGACGGCGGGAGGAGAGAGACGGAGCAGACGAGGGGGGGGGAGACCUUCUAGAUGUGACUAUCGAAGCGAGCGAUAGUAACUAAGAUACUGCAUAACUGAAUAACUAAGUUACUGAGUUCUGAGAGGAAGGAGGUCCCGUGUAUCCAGGGACUCGUCAUGAAGUGCACCGCGAUUUUCUACGGAAAGUUCACUCUUCUUGUGCAGUUUUAUUCUCUCUGCCGAGCUGAGCUGACACCUGCCAAUCAAAACCACACGGCUUGUCACGUCUUAACUCCACAAAUGGAUCUCCUCCGGUUUGAGGAUCGUUUCUUCUGUCGUGUUUUGUUUUUGAAGUCCGUCAGCGCGAUCAGAAUGAUUCAAAAGACGCAGCCUGUUUGAACGGUUCCGUUGCUUUUUUCCGACCGACACCCGAGACGCCGGCCCGCCGUCGGAGGGGCACGCUCGACCAGCGACGUCGGUGCGUGAACUAUCAUCGGGUCUAUUUCCUGCCGCUCGGGGGGGGACCGGAGCCCUCCGAGGAGCGCUGAGAAGCGGAUUGUUUUACACGCACCUGCUGCUGGACGUCACUCGGCUACACGCCUGUCUCACAGGGAGCGCGGUUAAUCGCUGAUUUGGCGCACUUACAGUGACAACAUACCAAGGUCCAGUUUCAGGAAGUACACGCACACACACACACACACACACACAUGCGAAGAGAUGCCCACUACCGCUUCAAACCUCUGACGCACGAAGAUGUACACACAUGCAAACACACACAUUCACUGACACACGCACACACUGCAACUCCCACGUUAGCACAAUGCCACAAAGUCCCACGAUGAGAAGGCUCAGCGGCCAUCUUUGAAUGUUGACUCACCAAAAUAACCUCAAAAUUGUGCAAAACACAGAGCUUCAAAGGCUGAAACUUGAACUGAAACUUAAAAACAGAAAAGAGAGUUUGUGUAUUCUGGAGCGCUGGAAGCUUUGUGGCUUUGACUGAAUGAGAAACCACUAAAGUGCUUCUUGGCGACACAUGAAGCCAGACAUCAGAAAAAGAAAAGUCCCCUCAGCUCGUCCUGCCCGGAGUCACCAGAGUCCCUCAGAAAACGUUUCCUUCUGCUCUUCAGCUUCUUCCCAACGGACAGGCAGUAAAUUAUAUUUAUCAUAUAUCGUUAUCGUGUAUCCAAAUGAGCAAGGAAAGCGUUUUGCACAGUGUGCCGCCGAGAACUGUCCAUUAGCCAUGGCGCGCGCCCGCAUGUGCACACCUGGAAAAAAGUGUCCCUCUUUUGGGGUUGAGGAAGUUGGCAACCCUAGCUCUGAUCCAAACGGCCAAGCUAACGUCGCGCUAGCCGAGUUAGCACAAGAACCCACGAGCUCAUCUGGUAGCAUGAGUACGGCUCUGUUGUCCUUUGGUCAGAUAACAACCAGGGACACAACAGGAACAAGGACGCAACCACGUCUAACACUAACACGUGCUCACUGAAGUAUACAUGUAUAAUUUGUGUGUAUCACUCAACGCUGGUUAUUUAAAAGUGUUAUUAUUGCCUAUUUUAUCCGUCUAUUAUUGCACAUUGGAAUAAAUACGGCUUGUUUUGCAUUAUGGAAUAUUGUGGCUCCGCUCACUUCAUUGGCCGAGUGGAGCAACGCCUCCUCUUGGAGGGAGGGUUCAAAGGUCACACAGCGGCCUGAAGAG
ensembl:lncRNA